rnacentral:rRNA from 1 species
GACGAACGCUGGCGGCGUGCUUAACACAUGCAAGUCUACGAGAACGAGGUAGCAAUAUCUUUAGUAAAGUGGCGCACGGGUGCGUAACACGUAAGCAAUCUACCUUUGGGUCUGGAAUAACUUCGAGAAAUCGAGGCUAAUACCGGAUAAUGCAGCGGCACCGCAUGGUGAUGUUGUUAAAGUUUGAGUAAUGCCUAUAGAUGAGCUUGCGUCUGAUUAGCUAGUUGGUAGGGUAAAGGCCUACCAAGGCAACGAUCAGUAGCUGGUCUGAGAGGAUGAUCAGCCACACUGGAACUGAGAGACGGUCCAGACUCCUACGGGAGGCAGCAGUGAGGAAUAUUGGGCAAUGCCCGCAAGGGUGACCCAGCAACGCCGCGUGGAGGAUGAAGGCCGUAAGGUUGUAAACUCCUUUUGCAGGGGAUGAAUGUUCCGCUCUAUGCGGACUUGACCGUACCCUGCGAAUAAGGAUCGGCCAACUACGUGCCAGCAGCCGCCGUAAGAC